AUUGAACGCUGGCGGCAGGCCUAACACAUGCAAGUCGAACGAGUGGCGGACGGGUGAGUAAUGUCUGGGGAACUGCCCGAUAGAGGGGGAUAACUACUGGAAACGGUCGCUAAUACCGCAUACUAUCAGAUGAACCCAUAUGGGAUUAGCUAGUUGGUGGGGUAAAGGCUCACCUAGGCGACGAUCGCUCGCUGGUCUGAGAGGAUGAUCAGCCACACUGGGACUGAGACACGGCCCAGACUCCUACGGGAGGAAGCAGUGGGGAAUAUUGCACAAUGGGCGCAAGCCUGAUGCAGCCAUGCCGCGUGUAUGAAGAAGGCCUUAGGGUUGUAAAGUACUUUCAGCGGGGAGGCGUUACCCGCAGAAGAAGCACCGGCUAACUCCGUGCCAGCAGCCGCGGUAAUAC
rnacentral:rRNA from 1 species